UCGGGAAUAUUGGACAAUGGGCGAAAGCCUGAUCCAGCCAUGCCGCGUGAGUGACGAAGGCCUUAGGGUUGUAAAGCUCUUUUACCAGGGACGAUAAUGACGGUACCUGGAGAAUAAGCCCCGGCAAACUUCGUGCCAGCAGCCGCGGUAAUACGAAGGGGGCUAGCGUUGUUCGGAAUUACUGGGCGUAAAGCGCACGUAGGCGGAUUGUUAAGUCAGAGGUGAAAUCCCGGAGCUCAACUUCGGAACUGCCUUUGAUACUGGCAAUCUAGAGUCCGGAAGAGGUUAGUGGAAUUCCCAGUGUAGAGGUGAAAUUCGUAGAUAUUGGGAAGAACACCAGUGGCGAAGGCGGCUAACUGGUCCGGUACUGACGCUGAGGUGCGAAAGCGUGGGGAGCAAACAGGAUUAGAUACCCAAGUAGUCCCUGAG
rnacentral:rRNA from 1 species